rnacentral:rRNA from 1 species
GCAAUGCACGAAAGUGUGACGGGGCUACCCCGAGUGCCGUCCGCUGAGGAUGGCUUUUCUUUGGUGUAACCAGCCAUGGGAAUAAGGAGAGGGCAAGACUGGUGUCAGCCGCCGCGGUAAUACCAGCUCUCCGAGUGGUAGGGAUGAUUAUUGGGCUUAAAGCGUCCGUAGCCGGCUUAACAAGUCUCCUGUUAAAUUCAGCGACCUAAUCGUUGAUCCGCGGGAGAUACUAUUAGGCUAGGAGGCGGGAGAGGUCGACGGUACUUCUGGGGUAGGGGUGAAAUCCUAUAAUCCCGGGAGUACCACCAGUGGCGAAGGCUGUCGACUAGAACGCGCUCGACGGUGAGGGACGAAAGCUGGGGGAGCGAACCGGAUUAGAUACCCGGGUAGUCCCAGCUGUAAACGAUGCGGGCUAGGUGUUGGGGUGGCUACGUGCCACUCCAGUGCCGCAGGGAAGCCAUUAAGCCCGCCGCCUGGGGAGUACGGCCGCAAGGCUGAAACUUAA